UCCUGGCUCAGGAUGAACGCUAGCUACAGGCUUAACACAUGCAAGUCGCGGGGUAACAUCUGGUAGAGCUUGCUCUUCCAGGAUGACGACCGGCGCACGGGUGAGUAACGCGUAUCCAACCUGGCCCAUACCACGGGAUAGCCCGUCGAAAGGCGGAUUAAUACCGUAUGCUGUCAUUAAGAUGCAUAUAUUGAUGACGAAAGGACUGGCGGUAUGGGAUGGGGAUGCGUCUGAUUAGCUUGUUGGCGGGGUAACGGCCCACCAAGGCGACGAUCAGUAGGGGUUCUGAGAGGAAGGUCCCCCACAUUGGAACUGAGACACGGUCCAAACUCCUACGGGAGGCAGCAGUGAGGAAUAUUGGUCAAUGGGCGCAAGCCUGAACCAGCCAAGUAGCGUGAGGGAAGACUGCCCUACGGGUUGUAAACCUCUUUUGUUUGGGAAUAAAGUGCGGGACGUGUCCCGCAUUGCAUGUACCAUUUGAAUAAGGACCGGCUAAUUCCGUG
rnacentral:rRNA from 1 species